CCUACGGGGGGCAGCAGUGGGGAAUAUUGGGCAGUGGGCGCAAGCCUGACCCAGCAACGCCGCGUGAAGGAAGAAGGCUUUCGGGUUGUAAACUUCUUUUGUCAGGGACGAAGCAAGUGACGGUACCUGACGAAUAAGCCACGGCUAACUACGUGCCAGCAGCCGCGGUAAUACGUAGGUGGCAAGCGUUAUCCGGAUUUACUGGGUGUAAAGGGCGUGUAGGCGGGGAGGAAAGUCAGAUGUGAAAACCACGGGCUCAACCUGUGGCCUGCAUUUGAAACUGGUUUUCUUGAGGGCUGGAGAGGCAAUCGGAAUUCCGGGUGUAGCGGUGAAAUGCGUAGAUAUAUGGAAGAACACCAGUGGCGAAGGCGGCUCUCUGGUCUGCAACUGACGCUGAGGCUCGAAAGCAUGGGUAGCGAACAGGAUUAGAUACCCCUGUAGUC
rnacentral:rRNA from 1 species